rnacentral:rRNA from 1 species
CCUACGGGAGGCAGCAGUGAGGAAUAUUGGUCAAUGGCCGUAGGGCUGAACCAGCCAAGUCGCGUGAGGGAUGCCGGUCCUAUGGAUUGUAAACCUCUUUUGUCCGGGAGCAAAGGGCGCCACGUGUGGCGUUUUGCGAGUACCUGAAGAAUAAGCAUCGGCUAAUUCCGUGCCAGCAGCCGCGGUAAUACGGAGGAUGCGCGCGUUAUCCGGAUUUAUUGGGUUUAAGGGGUGGGCAGGCGGAAUGUAAAGUCGGCGGUAACAUUUCGGGGCUCAACCCGGUCGUGCGGUUGAAACUGGCGUUCUUGAGUGAGCGGAAGGCAUGCGGAAUGCGUGGUGUAGCGGUGAAAUGCAUAGAUAUCACGCAGAACUCCGAUUGCGAAGGCAGCAUACCGGAGCGUAACUGACGCUGAUGCACGAAAGCGUGGGUAUCGAACAGGAUUAGAUACCCUAGUAGUC